rnacentral:lncRNA from 1 species
GAAUUGUGUUCAAAUUAUAAGAAGGAUAACAAGAUAUUUGUUUAUUUUCAUAUUCUUUUGCUGAAGUUUCUCGGAGAGAUAUGGUGUUCAUGUGACAGCCCUCAAAUCCGGGGGUCAGGAUUUGGUGCCACGUGUAAAUAAAAAUAAUUUAAAACCUGUAUUUUUGAGCCACUAAAAGAAAAAUAAUUUAAAACUUGUAUCUUUAAGAGAAAGUAAUAACAAGUAUUUCAAAACCUUGAUAUAAAAUAAAAAAAUGAUUUAAAUUAAAACUCAAUUUCACCCCCUUUAAAACAAGAUCGCAAACAGGUUAUAGUAUUGAAAUCAGAAAUCACAACUAAUAAAUCUUACUACAUCACUAUCUAAUUUAUCAGUGUAGCUGAUAAUAUUUAAUAAAUUUGUUUUACAUUUAAAUCGAAAUUAAGCCAACCCUAAUUACCACUAAUCUCGCAGACAUCUUCCGGAAUACUUUACCUGGUCAUUCAGUCACAACUAACCACUUGAAAUCCUUGCCUAGCAUUACUCUUACGCGUAGCCUAGACAGAUGAAUCAUCUUUAACACUAUCUGAAAGGGGUUUGAAGAAACAGGAGUUAAAGCAGAAAAAGUAAUUGAACUGGAAGUAUACAAAACAACAUGCUUUUAACUUGAAACCAAAACAAUUCAAAAGUACAUAUCAUUUCCAAAGCAUUCAGAUAUAUUGGACGUUAAUAGUCACGUAGAUGAUCAGUCUACAGUUACUUGGACAAUGGCUACGCAUUGCCCUGAAAUAACAUGUUCCGGAACUGAAGACUAGCUAGGUCUUCAAAUAACGUUAGGCCAUUGCCUUACAAUGGUCCUCUUACGCAAACAAAUAGGCUGGGCCGUUACCAAAUAACGGUCCUCUUACGCAACUCCAAUUAUAUCUGAGUUUUUACUUCCCAGUUCUAAAGAAUUGCAUUUUUAAGAAAAGGUUUAUUCCAUAGGAAGUAUACUUACAACGGAUAAGCCUUACAACCGAGGAACUAAACCGAGUUAUGAAAAACAUUUAUAGAGAUUUGAAACCAUGUGUAUCAAUUUGAUAAGUUACUCUUUCCAACUCAAAAUCGUACUUAAGUCGUGCAUUUGCAAUAAGUAAAAGUUUCAAGGAAAGAGCACUUGCUUCUAAAUAUAGAAUUUGAAUAGGAAUACUUGCAGUAAUUACAAGUUGAGAAUAGAAUUACUUGCAUAAUAAGGUUUAAAGGAAAUAUCACUUGAACAAUAAGUGAAGAUAGGGAUACUUGCCUCAGUUCGAUACAAGAGAGGAAUGAGAAUACUUGCCUUUGGUCCUUAGCUUAUACACUCUUAGCUAACAUCCUUAUCUUAUUCUGCUUUCUCAAGACAUCACCAUCAACUAUUCCUGAUUCUUUGCUAUGUCGCUCAUGCGGUUGCUGAAGCCUGAUACGAAAUCUUAUCUAACUUCAAUCUUGAUCCCUAACGUCUGGUUCUAUUUGUCUCGAACAAUCUGUAACUACUGAACCACUAUGCAACUCUCCCCUUUUCUUGCCUUUUCUUGGUAUCACGCUCGCAAUGCUCGAUCCUAUUAUAAGCAAAAAGAUACUACUUUAGUAUCCUUCCGAAACGACUAUUAUAAUUCUACCCUUUCGCGAUAUAUAUAUACAUAUAUAUAUAUAUACAUGGCACAUUAUAUAGCACAUAACAAGUAGCACACAUUAUAGUUUUAUAACUUACAACCAACUCAGAAUAUUAUUUAACACGAGAACGCGUAACUUAAGUUAAUAUUUCUACGGAAAAUUCGGCAUGACCUAUUCGUAAAUAGGACUAUCCCCCUGUUUUCAAAUCAAUCAUAUCAAUCUCUUUAAACUAAAUAAAAUACUAAUAUAAAGAAUAUCUGCCUCGACAUGCAGUAAAUCACAUAAGAAAAGUACCCGCCCCGACAUGCGGCACCUAAAACAUAAUGAUAAAUAAUCCGCCCAGACAUGCGGCACCUAAUUAAACACAUAAUGAUUGAAAGAAACUAACAGCUUAUCUUUAAAACGGAAGUAAUUCAAUAUUAAUACAUUAUACUAUCAAGAAUAACACUCUAACAUUUAACACGUAGCACUUAGCAGUUAUCACAUAUUUCCAUACAUUUACUUACCACUUACCAUAAUACUCAAUUUAGAUACUAUUCAAUUCAAAUAUAUACAAGUUGAAUUAAAUAAGCAUAGCAUUAUAUCUAUUUAAGAUAUUGCAUAUUUAUAUUAUUAAUAUUAUUAUUUACUAUUAUUACUACUAGUGAAAGUAAUAAUAAUAAUAAAGAAUAAUACUAAUAUUUAUUAAUAUUCGGCAUCCUAAAAUUACCAAGUAAACACCGUUUCACACAUUAACAUCAAUAAUAAUGCUAUGUAGUACAGCUAUUACUACCAAAUCACAUAAAUAUUAUUUAUAGAUUUUAUAGAAAUAUCACAAAUCAGUAACUAUGUAAAGUCGCUUAAUAGUCCGAUAAUUAUAGGACACGCUCCCAUAUAAUUAAAAAUCUAAAUUUUAUUUGAAAAUCGGGCAGCACCUUCUCUAUUUAUCGGACUACCAGUCGAUAUCAUAUCGACACAACAACCACAAACAAACCUGUAAUUAAUCCAAUAACUCAAACACCCAAUUUAUAACUACUAACUAAACCCGAUAAUCAAUCAAAUAAACUAAUAAUCGAAAUAAUAAACGGAGCACGUAUUUAAGAAAUCCAUAUCAAGACUCGAGCUACCCGAAUAAUUUACACAACCCAGCAAUCAACACCCGGCCAACUCGGCCCCACACGAACUCACCCAACACACACACUUGAAUACACAGUAUACACACGCUGCACACACUCUUACACGCACAAAAUACACGCGUAUAUACACGCAACACAGCAGCGAAACAAGGGGGAAAAACCAGGGAAAUCGAGAUAGAAACCAGAGGAAAAGAGAUGCCGAGUCUGGUGGUAGCUGAACAUGGUGAAGGGAGGCGCCGGACGGUGGCGGUGCGGAGAGAGGAUCGGCGCGGCGCUUACAGGGGAGGAGGGCAGGAGAGGGAAGGGAGAGGCGAGUGAGGCUGAGAGAGAGAUUGUGUGAGAAGAGAGAGAGAAA